rnacentral:rRNA from 1 species
CCAGGUGGCCCGAUGGCGGAGGGGAAACACCCGGAACCAUUCCGAACCCGGCAGUUAAGCCCUCCUGCGCCGAUGGUAGUGGUCUUGUAAGGGACCGCAAGAGUAGGUCGCUGCCUGGA